rnacentral:rRNA from 1 species
UCAGGAUGAACGCUGGCGGCGUGCCUAACACAUGCAAGUCGAACGGAGUUAUGACGCUGACGAGACUUCGGUCAAAUCUUGUUGUAACUAGUGGCGGACGGGUGAGUAACGCGUGGAUAACCUGCCAUAUACAGGGGGAUAACAGUUAGAAAUGACUGCUAAUACCGCAUAAGCGCACGGUCCCGCAUGGGACAGUGUGAAAAAACUCCGGUGGUAUAUGAUGGAUCCGCGUCUGAUUAGCCAGUUGGCGGGGUAACGGCCCACCAAAGCGACGAUCAGUAGCCGGCCUGAGAGGGUGAACGGCCACAUUGGGACUGAGACACGGCCCAAACUCCUACGGGAGGCAGCAGUGGGGGAUAUUGCACAAUGGGGGAAACCCUGAUGCAAGCGACGCCGCGUGAGUGAAGAAGUAUUUCGGUAUGUAAAGCUCUAUCAGCAGGGAAGAUAAUGACGGUACCUGACUAAGAAGCACCGGCUAAAUACGUGCCAGCCGCCGC